CUAGAAAUAACAGCAUCUAAAGUAAAGACUUAGUGACUACUAGAUUAUCCUUAGGUCUCUGCAUUAACUCUAUAAUGCUCUUGCUAUUUAAAAAAAAGCAUAUUUGUCACAGAAAUUUAGUUCACAUCUUACAACUGAACAUUUAUGUAUGUUGCUUAGAUAAAUAAUCAUUGUAAAUUCCUAUAUGAUCUUGAGUUUUUUAAAAUUUUGAAAUGG
rnacentral:lncRNA from 1 species